GACGAACGCUGGCGGCGUGCUUAACACAUGCAAGUCGAACGGAAAGGCCCUGCUUUUGUGGGGUGCUCGAGUGGCGAACGGGUGAGUAACACGUGAGUAACCUGCCCUUGACUUUGGGAUAACUUCAGGAAACUGGGGCUAAUACCGGAUAGGAGCUCCUGCUGCAUGGUGGGGGUUGGAAAGUUUCGGCGGUUGGGGAUGGACUCGCGGCUUAUCAGCUUGUUGGUGGGGUAGUGGCUUACCAAGGCUUUGACGGGUAGCCGGCCUGAGAGGGUGACCGGCCACAUUGGGACUGAGAUACGGCCCAGACUCCUACGGGGGGCCGCAGUGGGGCCUCUUGCCCCAUGGGCGGAAGCCUGAUGCAGCAACGCCGCGUGCGGGAUGACGGCCUUCGGGUUGUAAACCGCUUUCGCCUGUGACGACGCGUGAGUGACGGUACUGGGUAAAGAAGCACCGGCUCCCUACGUG
rnacentral:rRNA from 1 species